rnacentral:rRNA from 1 species
CCCUUAGAUGCUCUGGGCCGCACGCGCGCUACACUGGUCGAUGCAACAAGUUUUGUCCUUGGCUGAUAGGCCUGGGUAAUCUUUGAACGUGAAUCGUGAUGGGGAUAGAUGAUUGCAAUUAUUCAUCUUCAACGAGGAAUUCCUAGUAAACGCAAGUCAUCAGCUUGCAUUGAUUACGUCCCUGCCCUUUGUACACACCGCCCGUCGCACCUACCGAUUGAAUGGUCCGGUGAAAUCUUCGGAUCUGAGAGAUGUCUGAUUAAUUUCGGACGCCUUUUGGAAAAGUUGUUUAAACCUUACCAUUUAGAGGAAGGUGAAGUCGUAACA